UGCCUAGCAUUAGAGCUCCAGCUAACAAGAGGACCACAACUCUCACGGUUGCUGUCAAGUGCAGGCCUUUAACGGAGAGAGAACGUGGUCGCGACAUUGUUCGUGUUAAUGACAAUAAGCAAGUGAUUAUUCUGGAUUCUGACAUAUCAAAGGACUACAUCGAUCGUGUACAGAAUCGAACCAGGGAGAAGAUAUAUUGUUUUGAUCACGCCUUUGGUCCUCAUUGU
rnacentral:misc_RNA from 1 species